rnacentral:rRNA from 1 species
CAAGUCGAACGAGAAAGGGUAGCAAUACCUGAGUAAAGUGGCGUACGGGUGAGUAACACGUGGAUGAUCUACCUCUUGGCGGGGAAUACCUCUGGGAAACCGGAGACAAUACCGCAUAAGCUCGAGAGAGGAAACCCGCAAGGGGCCGAGAGAGGAGUCCGCGGCCGAUUAGCUAGUUGGUAGGGUAAAGGCCUACCAAGGCGAAGAUCGGUAGCCGGCCUGAGAGGGCACACGGCCACACUGGCACUGAGACACGGGCCAGACUCCUACGGGAGGCAGCAGUGGGGAAUCUUGCACAAUGGGGGAAACCCUGAUGCAGCGACGCCGCGUGAGCGAUGAAGCCCUUCGGGGUGUAAAGCUCUUUCGACGGGAACGAUAAUGACGGUACCCGGAGAAGAAGCUGCGGCUAACUACGUGCCAGCAGCCGCGGUAAUACGUAGGCAGCAAGCGUUGUUCGGAGUUACUGGGCGUAAAGAGUGCGUAGGCGGUGCCCUAAGUCUGUUGUGAAAUCUCCCGGCUUAACUGGGAGGGUGCGGUGGAAACUGGGGUGCUUGAGAGUGGGAGAGGUUAGCGGAAUUCCUGGUGUAGCGGUGAAAUGCGUAGAUAUCAGGAGGAACACCGGUGGUGUAGACGGCUGACUGGACCACGACUGACGCUGAGGCACGAAAGCGUGGGUAGCAAACAGGAUUAGAUACCCUGGUAGUCCACGCCCUAAACGAUGCAUACUUGGUGUGAGCCAUUCAUUUGGUUCGUGCCGGAGCUAACGCGUUUAAGUAUGCCGCCUGGGGGAGUACGGUCGCAAGGCUUGAAACUCAAAGGAAUUGACGGGGGCCCGCACAAGCGGUGGA